rnacentral:rRNA from 1 species
AGAGUUUGAUCCUGGCUCAGAUUGAACGCUGGCGGCAUGCCUUACACAUGCAAGUCGAACGGCAGCACGGGUGCUUGCACCUGGUGGCGAGUGGCGAACGGGUGAGUAAUAUAUCGGAACGUACCUUAUCGUGGGGGAUAACGCAGCGAAAGCUGCGCUAAUACCGCAUACGCCCUGAGGGGGAAAGCGGGGGACCGUAAGGCCUCGCGCGAUUAGAGCGGCCGAUAUCUGAUUAGCUUGUUGGUGGGGUAAAAGCCCACCAAGGCGACGAUCAGUAGCUGGUCUGAGAGGACGAUCAGCCACACUGGGACUGAGACACGGCCCAGACUCCUACGGGAGGCAGCAGUGGGGAAUUUUGGACAAUGGGGGCAACCCUGAUCCAGCAAUGCCGCGUGAGUGAAGAAGGCCUUCGGGUUGUAAAGCUCUUUUGUCAGGGAAGAAACAGCAGCUCUAACACAGUCUGCGAAUGACGGUACCUGAAGAAUAAGCACCGGCUAACUACGUGCCAGCAGCCGCGGUAAUACGUAGGGUGCAAGCGUUAAUCGGAAUUACUGGGCGUAAAGCGUGCGCAUGCGGUUAUACAAGACAGGCGUGAAAUCCCCGGG